rnacentral:rRNA from 1 species
GUGUCAGCAGCCGCGGUAAUACGGAGGAUGCGAGCGUUAUCCGGAUUUAUUGGGUUUAAAGGGUGCGUAGGCCGACUUUUAAGUCAGCGGUGAAAUUUUCCGGCUUAACCGGGACCUUGCCGUUGAAACUGAUAGUCUUGAGUGUAAAUGAGGUAGGCGGAAUGUGUGGUGUAGCCGUGAAAUGAUUAGAUAUCACACAGAACUCCGAUUGCGAAGGCAGAUUACUGGCAUACAACUGACGCUGAGGAGCGAAAGUGUGGGUAUCAAACAGGAUUAGAUACCCUGGUAGUCCACACAGUAAACGAUGAGAACUAGCCGUUGGCGAUAUACAGUCAGUGGCAGAGCGAAAGCAUUAAGUUAUACACCUGGGGAGUAUGCCGGCAACGGUGAAACUUAAAGGAAUUGGCGG